GGAAGCAAUAUGCAAUUAGUCAUGACAGGGAUCUUUACUGAUGACCUUAAUUAGGUGCAUGGAAUACUGAUGAGCUUAAUUAGGUGCAUGGGAUUCUUAAUGACAGUAAAUCCCAUUGGAAGAAAAGUUGUGCUAUGAAAAUUCUGAAAUUAUUUGGAGUUGUCUAACAAAAUAAGAGUUCUUGAAAAUAUUUGCUAAUAAGUUCCUUUUUAGUCUUGAGGCUGUUAGAAGUACAAAUAAAAUAGAUGAAAAGAGUGGAAUCUAUUUGGAUAUAUUAUUUAUUAAAACCUGUCCUUUGCUCAAUUGGUAAAUAUUUAUUCUGAUGGUCUGAUCUUUGUGGAGCUCCCACAUACCUGACUGUGUUUCCUGUCACAGCCUGGAGAUUAUGAAACAUUGCUGUUGUGCAGCUGCAGAUUAAUUCUUGGACAGAGUUUUCUGCUUCACUACCUCUUUUGUAGGUGCCAAAAAUAAUUGCUGAUUGUGCCAAGUUGUGUCUUUAUCACCUGUCAAAGAUCUCAGUGCACUGUCAUGUGGUAUCUAAACUGUUUUUUGCAUUUUGAGUUCAUCCAACAACGAAUAAAGAAAAGGAUAAAGAUGAGAGAAAAUGAAUUCUGGAGCAGCUGCAGAUUGUUUUCUGCCCAAAACUCUCUGAAAUAAGGUUGGACAUCCCUGUGAUUCACAUUUUGGAAGUAUUCUGACUCAUUGCAACUGAACCCUGUCAGAAAUGGAAGACUUGCAGGAGGUCCAGCAGAGAAGAUUGCCAACAUAGGCGUCUGUGCCAAGACAUUUCAGCUGGCAAAGACCAGGACACACAUCUAGUGCAUUUGCUACACAUGUUACAAUGGAAUCAUGGUCUACAAACAACAGAAAACACAAGCAUAUGAUGAGUUUAUAAACAAGAGUCUGUAAAUAUGUGUAUAAGGAUAAUUCAAAAGGUUUGUGGAAAAAUGGAAUUAAAAAUAUUUUGUUGCAAAAUAUUUUAGAAAUCAUUGCAUACAUAAUGUAUUUAAAAGUUCAUGGAAAAUGCAUGCUAUGAAAAAUUAUGCAUGGAUCCAAAAACUUUUGCUCAAAAAUUAUCUUUUAAUUUCAUUUUCCAAGAAUGUUUUUGAAGUCUCUUCACAUAUGUAGG
rnacentral:lncRNA from 1 species